UUUUAAAGCUAUUGGUACUGUGAUGUUUAGUUAGGAGCUAAGCAUUGUUAGAAACUUCAUGGAUUUGGGAGGUUUAAGAAAAAGUGUCAGACUUUUGGAUGGAAUCUAUUAGAAGGGAAAAUUCAAUUUUGACCCAUUCCCUUGGAGCUGGCCGUAUCACCCCCACCUCUUCCCCAAGUUCAGAUAUUGAUUUGUAUUGUGGUCAAACACAUGAUUUUGCCUUGAAAUUGAGUGGAGUUAAAGGAGUGGAAGGCUGCAUGUAGCAUCUCUUGGUGCCAAAUGGAUAUGAAAUAAAGUGGCCGAUUUUAGAAGAUAUUGAAGAAUCAAGUGGGUGUCACUAAAGUUCUCAACUGUGUUCUCUUGAAAGGUGGGUUCCUUUAGAAGCUUAACUUUUAGAUUAGUUAGCACCUUUAGUUUCCCCAAAUUCAAUAUAUUUAUGAUAACAUUAGUAUUAGUUAGGAAAUUAGUCUCCCCAAAAUUAUGCAUGACAACAAUAGGAAAGUUAGGAAAUAAUUGUGUGAGAAGGUUUAAUCCCAAAACCAUCUCCAUUCUAAUUAUAUAAUAUAUUUUAGUUGCUUAUGAAUGGACAUGAAUGUGAUUGUAGGUGGAAACUGAUAAACUCUAUUAAAAGUAAAAAGCCGAGAAUUGAACUGGUAUUCUCGCAUAGCGAGCAUCUUGCUUCUCUAAGCGAGCGUAUCAGAUCAGGACUUUGUAGAAUCAACAUUUUAAAUAAAAAUCCACUCGUUUUAUGUCCUUGACUAUUAUGGAAUAUUUCGUAAGCAGCGUAAUAAUUUUAUGUGAUUAGAAUGUUUAUCACGCUCAGGAACUUAGGUUCAGGACUCAGGAUAGUUAGAAUUACCCCGGGAAGGUUUUCUUUCUUUUGGGUAGGAUAACCAUUCAAGAUUAGGAAUUAUGUUUCAGAAUCUAUCAGGAUGUUUGGUCAUUAGUACCAAUAUCAGGAAGCGUGGUCAUUAGUACCAUGUCAGGGGAUUCAUUCAGAAUCCAAAAUCAUGUAAUAAGAACUGUNNNNNNNNNNNNNNNNNNNNNNNNNNNNNNNNNNNNNNNNNNNNNNNNNNNNNNNNNNNNNNNNNNNNGGCACUCCGGGACCGGCUUACCCCGGGGUGAUCCUGUUAUGAUAAAAUUGACAAGAUAAUUAUUAUGUGUGUUACACCUUUAUUGCUUUAUUAUCAUGUUAUGAAAACUUCAGGAUUAUGUCAGGAUUAGAACUAUUAGAUAUUCAGGUUCAGGUUAAAGAUAAAAACUAUUAGUUUCAGUUGCCUCGGUGUAGUCACCAGUAGUUGGGUAGUAGGAGCUCACUGAGGCUUAGUAGUCUCAUCCCAUGACUUUCAAUUUUUUUUUAGGUAAACAGGUUAACCGGAGCAAGGACCAGGCAGGAACUGAUGAUCGAGGUUGAGCUUGGAUUAUCGGACUAGAAGACUAUCGUCUUCUUCUUUGUUUUUAUGUUAAUCUGUUAAGUUAGAAUUUAAUUCUCUUCUGCUGUAUUUUACUGGAUUAUCACAUUAUUAUCGUGAUAUUGUAAAAUUCAAGUAAUUAUUCUGUAAUUUUAAUGUACUCAGAUUCAAUUAUAUAUGUCUCGGCUAAAUAUCUAGACAAUUUAGUUGGGGCGUUACAAUUGGUAUAAGAGCAGGUCGAUCUAGUAUCGGACCUUGCCAUGAGUCAUUAGAAUUUAUUCCUAAGUAGUACGGACCCUUUGGAGUCUGGACUGUUUACGCUGAAACCAUUGCUUGUUGAGCCCGUACAACUCAGUAUCGUAUAUGGUAGACAGGGUAUUACGGUUGAGAGCCGAAGUGGACCUCCUUGGUGGUCGAGUAGUAAGAUCGAAGUAGAAGCGCAACUCAGGGGGAAGCGCGAAUAUCUUUAGAAGCGGAGGUUGGAGCUACUGCAAUCGAUGCCACACGAGUAAGUAGAGUAACACCAACAACAAGUGGCGCGUAGAAUUUGGGAACAGUGCAUGGCUGCGUACCGGUAGUGAAAGGCAUGUCUCGAAGAUGCACGAAUCAGACGUGAUCUAUUGAUAGUAACAUGUAUAAGGAUGUGGAAAAUUCUGGUAAUGGAAAACCCAUUAUCAAAGUAAGUGUUUACCGAAAGGGAAUCGAGACUGGGUAUAGAAGUAAGAUACCCAGAUGUUAGCAGUAAAUCCAAAGUUGAGUAUAUCGAAAGUUGAAUUGUUACACGGAUGAAUGUAGAUAAACCAUUAUACCGAAGUGUGUAGUACAUGAUAGUAUCCAACUGACACUAUGUGUCAGGUAAAAUUUUCCUGACCUAGAAGUAACCACAUUCUCUUGUGAACCUACGUACCAGAAGCAUGUUGAACCAAGUAAGACCUAGCAGUCAAUAGACCGAAACUCUUCCUAAGUACUUAACCUUCCUUGCAUCUAAGAAAUUCAUCCAGUGUUGUUAGACCAAUCAACUACUUGUACUAGAGAAACCAAUUAGAACACAUACACAUACCAAUAAUUUUUUUUAUGCCGUCUUAUUAGACUACCCUCUAGAAUGUCAGCAUUAAAAUGUCCUUAAUAAAAGGAAUUCACUCUUUCAAUUCAUAGACAGUAAUCAUACCAAACCUCUAGAAGCUUAGUUUUAUUUAGUAUAACAAUCAGAAAUUAUCUCUUCACAAUGCAUGUUAUCCAGGUAGGCAAACUAAGUGCUAUCAUUCAAUUGUUCUUGAACUAGUAACUCAGUUCAGUACUAGUUUCAGUCGUUCGUCAAACCAUUCAUGUAUUCAAACCUAUCAGCUAAUGAUUCAACAUAAUCAGUUAAUCCUUCCUUGAUAAGUUUGUCAGCUAAAAACCUGAAUGAGAACCCAGUUGUCCUAACUCGAGAGAAAUGCCAGCAAAAAGGAAAUUAUGAAGUAUGAGUUUGAACCCAGUAGUAGUCGGAUUGUCACCUAUCUUUCCAUGUGAACCCUAACUCAUCGUAAUUCGUCGAGUCAAACAGAUUUUGAUUCUAUAUCCACCAAUAUUAGAAAACCAUGAACGAGCGUGCUUCCCUAACUUGUCUGCUUACGCAUCAUAUAGAUACUUCAUUUUUUUUGUUUUAAUGCCUAUCAACCAUGUGCGACAUGCAAAUUCGAAAUAUCAGUAAGUCAAACUGAUAUGGUAGAACAUCACUCUUAAGUAACCAUGUCAAAUGUCUUCAGCCUUUUAGUUACGUUGAUAAUAACUAGUUCAUAUUGAUUCAAUUCGGUGAAGUUAAGAAGUAGUAAUAAGACCAUCAUUAAUAUGAUCCUUUCAGUUUCAUUCUCUAUAACCAUGUUAGAUCAGUGUUAACUCUGAGUAUCUCUGUCAGAAUAUUUCAGCUUUCUAUAUCUGUCAACGACAAUUAGGUCAAAUCAACAUAAAUUGAAAUUACUCGUAUAGGGUAAUGAAUCACCAUCAAAUGGAUAUUGUUUCUUGAUCUAAUUACUGCGUAAUGAAACCACUAAUCAUCUGGAGUUAAACAACUUAAUUCAGUCUCAGCAUUAGAAGUUCAAACCUUAUGUGUUCAGCUAGCCACAUUAGAACUCGACAGUUUAGUCAAAUCUCCAUCACACUAGCCUGCCAUUUAAAGUCUAAAAAGAUCCAACCUUUACCCGUAAGAUAAAAUUCGAACUCAAGCUCAUCUACAUGUUUAAUGUACAACUAGAUCCCGAUGUUGUGCUAGGAAGGAUUGGAAUGGUAGGUGGAAAUUUCCGAAAGAACUAUGGGUCCGUUUGCAGAUGAGUUUAACUUAUUGGCAAAAGGGGAUUGUAGUAUUUAGGCACUCUUCCACUCGUUUUAUAUUCCAAUCGAUCCUGGAGUAUUUAAACAACGCAUGUGGUGUAGUGGUACACAUGACAUGUUGAGCGCUUGUAGUGUUCGAAAAUGAGAAUAUCCAAUGGAAGGAAGAUUUUUGGAUGUCAAAAUUAUUACUCAACCUUAUAUCCUUCAGAUAACCUUGUAACGUAAACCAUUGGCCCAUGUUUUGGUGUGUACCCAACCAGGCCAUAUACCGACCUUACCAGAUACCGACCUAAGGAAGUGCGUUGAGUAACAAAGUUAUUGCCGGAAGCAAUAAAAGGAGACUAAUUGUAGCUAAGGGUGGUGAAGUGAUAAGCUAAGCAGAGACCAACUCGCGGAGAAUUUCACUGAUUGAAAGUAAGUUGUCGAAAUCAGAGUGCGCAGCAAGUAUGAGCUAAGGAUGUAGUUAGUAAUUUGACUUGUAACUUCACAACCCUUUCAAUCCAAGAAACUGGAUGUAAUUGACGUGAAAUGAGUAAUCCGCGUAUGAUGAGUAAGUACGCCCCCAGUUACACUUAAACCUUGGAUUGAAAGUAGCAUAGUACCCUUGAGAGCAAAGAUGGUGUUAAAAAAACACGGUUCAACUAAGAGGUUUAACGUGGUGAACUAGUAUGAGUAGGUGUAAUCUGGUAUAAUCUGGUAUCAACUACAAGAGAGACAAAGAGACUAAUGUUCCGUAAGCACGAGAACUGUGAACAAGUAACAAGAAAAUAUGCUUAUGGGAUAAGCGCGCCAUAGAGUUGUGGUACUGUACUAAAGUAAGGGUUCAGUUUCAUGAAAGGGACGAAGACACAAGACGGUUACCGGAUGUAAGCGAAGAUGUUCUUGAAUUUCGAGGACGAAAUUCUUCUAAGGAGGGUAGAUUGUAACAUCCCGACUUUAAUUAAUAGAAAAAUAUUAAUUAGAGGUAAUUAUUGGAGAUCAAUUGAGAAUAUUUUUAUCGGAUAAAAAUAAGAAAUUGUGAUUUAAGAAGGAGAAUGGCAAAGUAGUAUUAAGUGAGUAAAUGUUUGGCUAUUUGAUUACUUUAGUGCCUUGUGGACAUACAAUUGUCAUCACAAGUUUUCCCAAUCCUUUCUCUCUCUCACGUGCUUCUCUCUUAACUCCCCACUCACUUUAUUUUCAACCAAUAACAUCAAUGCAAUGCAAUGGAAAUAAAAUUACAAGUAAUGGGACCACAUUUGACUAGUUAGAAGGAGAAAAGGGACACAUAGUCACAAAGUUGGAAAACCAAUCUUUCCCUAUUCUUUCACUUUCACGCCUAAUCACUCCACAACCACAAGAUCUCAAUCCUCUCAUCUUUCUCUUCACGCAAAAACAGAAACAAAAGCACCAUGACCCCAUUUCAUUUCUCUCUCUCUCUCGUGGAACACACCACUCAACUUCCAUUUUUCAAGCUAGAAACCACACCCCACAUGUAACAUCCCAACCUUAAUUAAUAGAGAAAUAUUAAUUUGAGAUAAUCCUUGGAAAUUAAAUGGAAAUAAGUGAAUAAGUAUAAAAGGAUAAUUAAAGGACACAAGGAAACUCUAGUGGUAAGUGGCAAGNNNNNNNNNNNNNNNNNNNNUUAAUUUACCAUAAAAGCCUAACAACCAACCCUUCCAAUUCAUUCUUUCACUUUGCAAAAGUCAGAACAUAGCACUACUCCCUACAAACUCUCUCUCACGCCCUCAAUUAGUUUCUAACCCAUUUUUCUACUCUCAAAAGCAAAACUCAGCUCAACACCACCAACCAUGGGAGUUUCUUGCAUGCAAUUCACUCAUUAGUCUCCUCGGGUCAAUUAGAGCAAGGUAAGAAUUUGAGUCUCUCACUUCUCUUCUUUCUCAAUUCACACCAUUCACCCUCUCACCCAUAUGGGUUUCAUUCUCCAACCUCUUUGGUUUGUGGCUUGCAUGUACCUAUUUUGAUGUUCUUGGAGCUGUCAUGUUUGGUUAGAAGCUAGAGAAUUAGUGGGAACUUCAAGGACUUGAUGAAUUAAUGGAAGGAGCAGAUUUGGGAAAAAGAAAGGAAUAUGAUAGUGCAAGCUUUUCAACAACAAUUAUCANNNNNNNNNNNNNNNNNNNNNNNNNNNNNNNNNNNNNNNNNNNNNNNNNNNNNNNNNNNNNNNNNNNNNNNNNNNNNNNNNNNNNNNNNNNNNNNNNNNNNNNNNNNNNNNNNNNNNNNNNNNNNNNNNNNNNNNNNNNNNNNNNNNNNNNNNNNNNNNNNNNNNNNNNNNNNNNNNNNNNNNNNNNNNNNNNNNNNNNNAAUAUACGAAUACGAAAAAUGGGUCGUUACAGAUAGUGCAAGCUUUUCAACAACAAUUAUCAGUUGCUAUCAUCUUCAAUUAAAAGGUGGGUUCUUAGGUCCCUUGCCUUAAGAAUUUAAUUAGAAGCUUAGUUACCCCAAAAAUCACACUUGUGCAUGUUAACAUAGGUUUAAUUUAGGAUAUUUGGAAUUAAACAUUAAUUGGAUUAAUUAACUAUUAGAUUAAUUCCCUACAUGUUUGAAAUGAUAGAAAUUCAUGGAAUCUAGUGUAAACAAGUGAAUUGCAAACUGUUUUGGAGUCUCUGUUUUGAGAGUUAUGCAGGAUUUUCGUGUUUGAAUCAGUUUAUGGGAGCUAUGAAUCGAUGCUAAAGCCUCCCUGGGCUUGAGAAAUGCGCGUCUGAAACUUAUGAGCAGGUUCAUGUCUUUUGUGUACCGGUGCAUAAGCUUCAGCAUGCAGUUUUUAUAAAAAAACUAGGAACCUUUGCACCGAUACGUGCCCUGUAUGAGCUGACUCAAAGCCCGAGGAACAUAGUCAUGCAGAGAUGCAUAGGUAGCAUGAAUCGGUGCAUAGAGAGCCAAAACAUAUUUUCAACAAACUUGGUUUCUUGCACCGGUACAUAUUUCCUUUGAAUUGAUGCAUCCUGGGACAACUUUUAUAUUUUAAAAGUAAUUAGAUUCCAUGGUUUCAUAUUUUCCCACAUGCUUUAAAAUUAAUCUAGACUAAGAAUUAGGUGAGGAAACUAUGAUUAUUAGAAUUACCCCGGGAUGGUUGUUAAGUUAAGAACACUAAGAAAUUAGAAUAGUCGAGUAGAUUAGUGGUUGACACCCAAACCACCAUUCAUUAUAAUUUCGACUAUAGUAAGAUUUCCGUACAUUAGUAGGAAUCCGUUAAGUUAAAUAAUUAAUGUGAGUAAGACCACCGUGGCAUAGCUAUGUCACAAUGGGUAGUGGAGAACAUCCUGAGUGGAGAACAUCCUAAGAGGAGUACAUCCUUAGUGGACCUUUCGAGAUAUACUCACCUCGGAAGCUUCCUAUAAAAUGAAUCAAGAUAACUAUUGUGUGAUACAUCUUUAGUUUCUAUUAAGAGAAUUAUUAUGUUUAAGUCAUUCUUAUGAAUGUAACGAAUUAACGAUCGAUUCCAAUAAUGAGUCCUAAGAGAUAGUUGUACCUAGAUGGGUAGCGAGGAAUCCAUUGAGACGAAGUGACUGUCUCACCCCACUCCCUUUUGAUACAGAUAAACAGGUUGCUGAGCAGAGAGCUAUGGACUGGUCGAAGUGAAGUGGCAUUGGAUGUUACUGUCAUUGUUUAUCUGGAUAUUCUAUUAAGUCGUUGUAUAAGUUAGUGUUAUAACGUGUUUGUAUUGACUGGUUAUAUAUGGCUCUGAUGUAAGUUUUAAGUUACAUUAUGACAGGAAUGUUAUCAUUCAGUUUAGUCAAUACUUGUAUAAUGACAAGGCCUUUAUGUGUUAUGGGUAUAUACAACGAGUUUAAUUCAGUAAUUUUAAUGUAUCCCGAUCUUUAUACUUACGUCUCGGCUAAUAUUCUAGAUAAAUUAGCUGGGGUGUUAUAAUUGGUAUCAGAGCAGGUCGAUCCAGUAUCGGACUUUGCCGUGGAGCAUUAGAAUUCAAGUUAAGUAGUAGGGACCCUUUGGAGUCUGGACUGUUUACGUUGAAACCAGCGCGUGCUGAGCCCGUACAACUCAGUAUCGUGUGUGGUAGGCAGGGUACUACGGUUGAGAACCGGAGUGGACUAAGGAGGUAAAGGAUGAGU
rnacentral:lncRNA from 1 species